AGGGACUGACAUGUGUCGCAGCUGGGACAGUAAAUGCGGGUGGUCUUUGUGGCAGUGUAAUCGUUUUUGUCUUUAAUGCCGAAUAUCACGCUGACAAACCACAGUCAUUUAAAUGCAACUGUGUAAAUGGAGAAGUGCAAUUAGAGAAUCGAAACCUGCUCUAAAAGCAGCCCACUUCAUAUCACAGAACACCCUGGGAAGUCUUUCCUCAAGGGAUCAUGGAAGAGAUCUGAUCUCUGUUCUCACUUUAUUCUGGAAUGAAAGUGUGUGACCCUGGAGAAUCCAAGAAGAGCUGUUUUGGAGAUCUAUGAGACAGAGGUUCAGUUGUUUUGACUCUUGCAGAGAUGCACUGAGAUGUUCAGAGGAAAAACAGACGUUCAGAGAUCCGGCUAAAUCUCCUCCUCUGCUGGAUGCUGCAUGCGGUCAGAAUGGAUGGGUGGUUUUUCCUUCACCUCAUCAGGGUCACUGAGCGCCCAUCCCAAAGCCAUCUGAACAGUCAAUGUCUCCGCUUCAGCAUGAAUAUAAAUAGAGAGCUCUCACUCCAUCACAUGUGGAUAGAUUAGGUGCCAACAGAGAGGUUUUUCUGUUUAUAAUGCUCUGAGGUCACAUGGACACAUACAAUAACCACAAUAGUGGUCAGGGGUCAAUGUUUGGAACAAGUCAGACCGUAGUUUAAAUAUCACCAU
ensembl:lncRNA